rnacentral:rRNA from 1 species
GAUGAACGCUAGCGGCAGGCUUAAUACAUGCAAGUCGAGGGGCAGCAUGAUUGUAGCAAUACAAUUGAUGGCGACCGGCAAACGGGUGCGGAACACGUACACAACCUUCCAACAAGUGGGGGAUAGCCCAGAGAAAUUUGGAUUAAUACCCCGUAACAUAGCGAUGUGGCAUCACAUUGCUAUUAUAGAUUUUUCGCUUGUUGAUGGGUGUGCGGCUGAUUAGAUAGUUGGCGGGGUAACGGCCCACCAAGUCUACGAUCAGUAGCUGAUGUGAGAGCAUGAUCAGCCACACGGGCACUGAGACACGGGCCCGACUCCUACGGGAGGCAGCAGUAAGGAAUAUUGGACAAUGGACGCAAGUCUGAUCCAGGCAUGGCGCGUGAAGGAUUAAGGUCCUCUGGAUUGUAAACUUCUUUUAUAAGGGACGAAAAAAGGCUUUUCUAAGUCGUCUGACGGUACCUUAUGAAUAAGCACCGGCUAACUCCGUGCCAGCCGCCGCAGUAAAAC